GAUGAACGCUGGCGGCGUGCUAAUACAUGCAAGUCGAACGCUGGAGAUCUAGCUUGCUAGAUCGAAGGAGUGGCGAACGGGUGAGUAAUACAUAAGCAACCUACCCACGAAGACUGGGAUAAUCUCUGGAAACGGGGACUAAUACCGGAUAGGUAAUCGGAAGGCAUCUUCUGGUUAUUAAAGGUUAAAAACACUGGUGGAUGGGCUUAUGGCGCAUUAGUUAGUUGGUGAGGUAACGGCCCACCAAGACGAUGAUGCGUAGCCGGCCUGAGAGGGUGAACGGCCACAUUGGGACUGAGACACGGCCCAGACUCCUACGGGAGGCAGCAGUAGGGAAUUUUCGGCAAUGGGGGCAACCCUGACCGAGCAACGCCGCGUGAGUGAAGACGGCCUUCGGGUUGUAAAGCUCUGUUGUAAGGGAAGAACGGUAGAUAGAGAAUAUCUAAGUGACGGUACCUUACCAGAAAGCCACGGUAA
rnacentral:rRNA from 1 species